rnacentral:sRNA from 1 species
UCUUCCGCCGCUAAUCUGCAGGCGCUCUGAACAUCUGCCUCCGGUCUCUGACCACGGAUGUACUGGCAUUGGCCGUGUAGGCAACAGGAGAAGGUCGGGGCAGCCCGGCCUUUUUUCGU